CCUACGGGAGGCAGCAGUGAGGAAUAUUGGUCAAUGGGCGGGAGCCUGAACCAGCCAAGCAGCGUGAGGGAUGAAGGACCUAAGGGUGGUAAACUUCUUUUAUAAAGGAAUAAAGUGGGGCACGUGUGCCUUGUUGUAUGUACUUUAUGAAAAAGGAUCGGCUAACUCCGUGCCAGCAGCCGCGGUAAUACGGAGGAUCCGAGCGUUAUCCGGAUUUGUUGGGUUUAAAGGGAGCGUAGGUGGGUUGUUAAGUCAGUUGUGAAAGCUUGCGGCUCAACCGUAAAAUUGCAUUUGAUACUGGCAGUCUUGAGUGCAGUUGAGGCAGGCGGAAUUCGUGGUGUAGCGGUGAAAUGCUUAGAUAUCACGAAGAACUCCGAUUGCGAAGGCAGCUUACUGGCCUGCCACUGACAUUGAUGCUCGAAAGUGUGGGUAUCAAACAGGAUUAGAUACCCGUGUAGUC
rnacentral:rRNA from 1 species